rnacentral:rRNA from 1 species
CCUACGGGAGGCUGCAGUGAGGAAUAUUGGUCAAUGGGCGCUAGCCUGAACCAGCCAAGUAGCGUGAAGGAUGACUGCCCUAUGGGUUGUACACUUCUUUUAUCUGGGAAUAAAGUGCAGUACGUAUACUGUUUUGCAUGUACCUUAUGAAUAAGGAUCGGCUAACUCCGUGCCAGCAGCCGCGGUAAUACGGAGGAUCCGAGCGUUAUCCGGAUUUAUUGGGUUUAAAGGGAGCGUAGGCGGGUUGUUAAGUCAGUUGUGAAAUUUUGCGGCUCAACCGGAAAAUUGCAGUUGAAACUGGCAGCCUUGAGUACAGUAGAGGUAGGCGGAAUGCGUGGUGUAGCGGUGAAAUGCUUAGAUAUCACGAAGAACCCCGAUUGCGAAGGCAGCCUGCUGGACUGUAACUGACGCUGAGGCUCGAAAGUGUGGGUAUCAAACAGGAUUAGAUACCCGAGUAGUC